rnacentral:rRNA from 1 species
AACACGUGGGUAAUCUGCCUUUGAGUUUGGGAUAAGCCUUCGAAAGGGGGUCUAAUACCGGAUAACAUCUUAGGAUGGCAUCAUCCAGAGAUCAAAGAAGGAACAAUCUUUCGCUUAAAGAUGAGCCCGCGCACCAUUAGCUUGUUGGUGGGGUAAUGGCCUACCAAGGCUGGGAUGGUUAGCCGGCCUGAGAGGGUGAUCGGCCACACUGGGACUGAGAUACGGCCCAG